UAAGGAAUAUUGGACAAUGGACGCAAGUCUGAUCCAGCCAUCCCGCGUGGAGGAAUAAUGCCCUAUGGGUUGUAAACUCCUUUAGCUGGGGAAUAAAAGACCGAUUUAUCGGGAAUUGAAGGUACCCAGAGAAUAAGCACCGGCUAACUCCGUGCCAGCAGCCGCGGUAAUACGGAGGGUGCAAGCGUUAUCCGGAUUUACUGGGUUUAAAGGGUGCGUAGGUGGCCUGAUAAGUCAGUGGUGAAAUCUC
rnacentral:rRNA from 1 species